AUGCCCCCAUCUCAUUAAAACUCACUCCCCAAAACCUAAAAGAGGAGGAUCAGAUGAAAAAACCCUCCUCUCUUGAACAAGAAGCGGCGCACCUCUCUGUUCUUGAGCUAAAAGAAACGAACACCCUCCCCUUCUUCUUCUCUAUUCCCUCCUCACAUUACCCUCUCACCCUUCAACACCACCUUACACACACACACACGAGAAAAUGGCUAAAUAAUAGAUUGAGAUUUUGAGAAAUCAAAUCAAGAUCUGAGAGUUUAGGAGCUCGAAAAAAAUACAAAGGAGCAUAGACGAGUUUUUAAAGUUCAAAUCUGUUCUCCUGGGUUUACAAGAGCUGUAGAGGAUUAUUAAGUGCCCCUGCUGUUGUUUUGAAAUUGGCUGAGCUUUGUCCGUUAAUUUCUGGCUUUAAUUGGGUCUUCUCAAUUACUGUUUUCCUGAGAUAAAGGUAAACAACAUGAACUUUUGUAUGUUUCUGCUUUUCAAUGAUAAUAAGCUAUGGAUUCCCAUCACAAACCUGACUUCGUAUGCUCGAUUCCAUGCCUUAUUCUUGUGAACAUUGUCAUAUAUGUUCCAUCUUCGUUUUUCUUUUAAUGGCUAUCUCUUUUCAUCUGUUUUCUAUGGUCUUAGAUCUGGAGUUCGAUGCUAGUUCGCUCUUUCGAGAUUCAUGACUAAUUUUUAACCAAUUGUAUGAUUGAUAUUGAUUCCCUUUAUUCUUGCAAUUAACAUAUUUACUUCAUUUUUAAAUUUACAUUUCAAUUUAUUUAAUCUCCCAUGACUAUUUUAAAUCCCAUGUUACCUCCUAGCCAUACACGAUGAAGUAAUUUUCUUGUGGUAAAACUGAUUAAACAUGUGCUCUUCCUUGUUAGAAUUCUAGAGUUAGUAAAGUGUCAUGUGUUCGGAAUCUGUAUUUCGUCCCUAAAAUUUGAAUGCCUAUGCUCAAGUAUACUUUGCUUUAUUUGACCGAAUUUGGAAGCUACUUGGGCAAUAUGAUCUAAAACUACACCGGAGCCAUGUUUACUAGAUAUAUUUAUUUUUUGGAACCAUGUUAACAUCCGAACUUUAGAAUACUCAAUGACAAUUGGCACGCACGAAAGCUCUUUAAACCUUAAGCUCUUUGGAACCGUGUGACUCUUUGAGGGGUUCUCAAUAAUUUUCCAUUUGAUAUUCUUCUCUUCAAACCUCAAGUUUUGUUUCAUGGUUUCUGCAAUUGUCUUGUGGGUAUAUUUGCAUGGCCUCACAACAAUCUUGAACUUAGGAAAUGAAUAAUUAUGAACAUGCGCUAGUUUCCAUUUGUGUUGUUCAUUGUUCUUUAGUUUUCUGUUGAUUUGAUAUGCUAAAUAUCUGUUUCGAUCAAGUGGUGGAAAAUUUGUUUUGAAAAACUGAUUAGCAUCCGAGAGAAUGAUGUGCGUUACGUACUUCUUAGAGAUUGAAGUUUGUUUGCUUUAGUCAAAGAUUGAAGUUUGUAUCUUAGCCCCUUGUCCUACAUGUAAUGGUUCAUUAGUUUUAGAAUGACAAUUAGUAGACAAAUAUGAAAUAUUGUAAUGCUCACAACAGGUACUAGAUUGAUCAAGUAGUAAGGUACAUAAUUCUUUUUAUCAAGAUUUAGACAUCAGUUUGUUAAGUUGUUUUUUAUUUUAUUUUAUAAAAUCAAGAUUUAGAGAAUCAGUAGCAAGUAUAUGAUGGCUAAUUGUUUAGUUGACUAUUAAGCUACCUAAGCAUUAAUAUAUAAGUUGUUUCUGUUUGUGCUUUAUGAAAGAAAGACGUGUGCUUUGAGCUGAUUCCAUCAUUCUUUUUACCUGUUAUGAUUUGAUUUAUCUAUAAAAUUGACUGUUUUAAACCAUAGACUGAGUUGGAUUCAUUUUUUGCUAUACAUGAAUAUCCCAGUAAGAUUUGUUUAUUGCUAUCAUGCUAUGUCAUUUCUCUUCUUUUUUUCCCUCUCACACGGACAAUCCAAAAUGUUUGAUUUUCUUCAUUGGAUCUCACUGUGUUUAUGUAGUGGUAGUGGUUUCUUUUUUAGUUUUAUGAAAACAUUUAAAGAUAUUUUGUUCAUGUUUUUGGAAUUCUUGAGAGGUUAAGUACUCAAAAUUUGACAUUUCUUAUUCUUAAUUCUUGUGGUUAUUUUGCAGCCAAAGAGAAGUUGAAAAUAUUUGUUGUGUAACAUCGAGUAAGUAGUUUAUACACCAGUACUUAUUUCUUAUUCUUCGGGGGUAAAUUUAUUAGAAAUUUACUUAAUUAAUCUAAAAAUGCAAAACUAAAUUCUAAAUGCAGAUGUUAUAUUUUUGUAUUUUCAAUGCAUUAAUUAAAUAUGCACAAAAUAUGCAAACACUUAAGCAAAUUACACAGUAAUUCCUAAUUUUAACAAAUAAUUAGAUAAAAAUCUAAUUUGAAAGACUGAUUAGCAUCCUUUGUUCUACAGGCGGGUUCCUGAUUACUCGAACUUGAAUUGCUUCUUCCUUUCGUUCUCCAGGCGGGCUUCUGACUACUUGACAUUUGGAUUGUAUUCCUUUGUUCUCCAGGUGGGCUCCUGAUUGCUAAAACUCGAAAUGUAUUCCCUUAUUCUCCAGGUGGGCUCCUGAUUGCUAGAUUUGAAAUGUAUUCCCUUGUUCUCCAGGUGGGCUCCUGAUUGCUAGAUUUGAAAUGUAUUCCCUUGUUCUCCAGGUGGGCUCCUGAUUGUUGAAACUUGAAAUGUAUUCUCUUGUUCUCCAGGUGGAUGCCUGAUUGCUGAUACUUCAACUGUUGUUCCUUGUUCUCCAGGUGGACGCCUGAUUGUUGAUACUUCAAUUGUUCUUCCUUAUUCUCCAGGUGGAUGCAUGAUUGCUAAUAUUUCAACUGUUAUUCCUUGUUCUUCAGGUGAACGUCUGAUUGCUGAUAUUUUAACUGUUUUUUCUUGUUCUCCAGGUGGACGUCUGAUUGCUGAUAUUUCAACUGUUUUUCUUUGUUCUUCAGGUGGACCGCCUGAUUGCUAGUAUUUGGUCAUGCUCUUAUCUUUAACAUCCGUGUUGUUCUCCCUGUUCUUCAUAUGAGUACCUGAUUUCAACAAAAAUAGACAAAACAAAAGAAAUUUUCUGCCCCAGUUUGGUAGUUGGGCGCAUCUGUGAGUGUUAAACUGAAUCAUAUUACCAAAUAUUACUAAGAAUUUGAAAGCUAGGUCCCAUUAUCCAAGGGGGGUCCUGAUAACUCUUAACUAAACGACAAUUUUAAAUCUAAGUUAUAUCUUUUAAAGGUAUGACUUCUGCUAAAUCUUGUUAUCUAAGGUCUUAAACUACUCCCCAUUAUCCGGGAGGGUCCUGACAACUCUUAAUUAGCGACCAUUUUAAAGCUAAAUUAUAUCUACUGAAGGUAUGUCUUAUGUUAAAUCUUGUUAUCCAAGCCAGUUUUAAACUACGUCCCAUUAUCCAGGAAGGACCUGACAAUCAAAAAUCAAGACUUAUCUUAAGAGUGACAAUUUUACGGCUAAAUUGUACUCUCUUAUAACAACAUUUAUCUAAUUGAAUGCUUAAAGUUACGUCCCAUUAUUCAUGUGGGUCCUGAAAAUUGUUAUGCGAACUUUGAAGCCAACUUAUAUCCCUUUUGGUGCACAUUUGUCCUAUAUUCACUACUUAUAUUUUUUUCUGGAUUUUAACCUAGGUCCUAUUUUACAAUAGGGUCCUGAAGUUUCGAAUUGAGGCUUGUCUUAAAAAAAUAAAAAAUUCAAAUCAACUUAUAUUUUCACGAAGUAGAACUUAUGUUAGAUCUUGUACUCAUGAAUGUUUUGAAUUAAAGCUA
rnacentral:lncRNA from 1 species